AUGAGCACGCAGCCUCAGCAAGGUAUGAACAUCAACACCCCACCUACCCAAUUAGCGUCGGCUGUCGUGCUGGGUGAUAGCGGAGGGGGUGAGGAAAAGGCUCCAUUAGUCGCUGGUGACGUCGCCAUAGAUGAGGAUGAGGAUGACGAUGACACUCAACAGUAUUUCAAUACUGGCGCCUACUUAGGGUUUGAGCGUCAUGAGUCGGUGCCUGAAUUGCCGCCUCAGCAGCCUCCGGUAGUAAAGAAGUCUAGGAAGAGACCGAGGAAAGGCAACAACAAAGCUGCUUCUAUGAUCCAGCCACCUCAGCAGCCUCGGGUUCAAGACCGUAUAGAUAUCCCCGGUGCGGCAAAAUGGCAUAUCCCCGGUCAACCAAUCCUACCUAAAGAUUUAAGGAGACUUCAUGACGAUGUGCUGCGGAUAGAGAAAGGCAUCAUCGCCUCAAAAAAUCCAGGAUACCCACUCUACGUGGUUAACGUGCCGCGGCAAAGUUCGUACGUCCACACAUGCGCCGCGGACAAGUUCUUCCUUCGAUUCGAUUACAUCUUCGACAUGUUUCACUUGAAGAAGCUGGAUUUUACGUUUGUCCGCCUUUAUGCCUUGUACAUGAACUACCUCAUCGGGGUUGAGCAGAUACCUCAUAUCCGUGUCGCUGACCCGUACUUCAUGCACGAGGGCUUCUUGGGAGUCUGCGCAGAGCACCGUGAAUACGCGAGGGAAUACAUCGCCAAUUUCAUGCUCGCCAAUAAGGACAAGGAGCGGCGGCGCGCCGUCCUCAUCAUCCUCUACCCCCGAUACUCCCACGCUCUUUACUUGGAAUCGUCGAAGAACAUUAACAAAAUGGAUUACACCCACAUCAAGUCUGUUCUCGGCAGUGCUAUGUUUUACUACGGCGCACGGGGUGGAGAGGUCAAGGACAAGAAGAAAAGGGACGACAGGCCCGCCUUCGGCCAUAAGACCGACUUCUGCUGCAUCCAGCAACCGAGUGAUUCUCUUAAUGAUGGAUUCUAUGUCCUACACCACAUGCUGAAGUACAGACGGGAUCACCAGAACCUUCGCAUGUCACCUAGAUCCGGCGAUGCCCAUAUUCUGCAAUGGGCAAAGAACUUAGGAGAUAUCGAGGAUCAUCGACUUCGAGCUGAGUUCUAUCACAUCCAGCGCGAACUUGCCCAAAUCAUCAUGAAGGAGGUCGUCGGAAAAACAGGGAUGUUCUACGAAGAAGGACAAAUGUCGCGGGAAGACGUCCGAACACGCGUAGCCGCUCAGCGUCUCGACCUGAAGCCUUUCACUAAGCUCGGGGACUAUCUCCCUGACUUGGAUGGAUGGCAUGACAUGGAGUGA
rnacentral:rRNA from 1 species